rnacentral:rRNA from 1 species
ACUCCUACGGGAGGCAGCAGUGGGAAUAUUGGACAAUGGGGGCAACCCUGAUCCAGCGAUGCCGCGUGUGUGAAGAAGGCCUGAGGGUUGUAAAGCACUUUUAGUGGGGAGGAAAGUUAACAGGUUAAGAGCUAGUUAAGUUGACGUUACCCACCAUAAACAGCACCGGCUAACUCCGUGCCAGCAGCCGCGGUAAUACGGGGGUGCAAGCGUUAAUCGGAGUUAUUGGCGUAAAGAGUACGUAGGCGGCUUAGUAAGUUGAUUGUGAAAGCCCCAGGCUCAACCUGGGAAUUGCAAUCAAAACUGCUUCGCUAGAGUUUGGUAGGGGAUAAUGGAAUUCCUAGUGUAGGGGUGAAAUCCGUAGAUAUUAGGAGGAAUAUCGGUGGCGAAGGCGAUUAUCUGGGCCAAUACUGACGCUGAGGUACGAAGGCGUGGGGAGCAAACAGGAUUAGAUACCCUGGUAGGUCAGUC